GCGGCACGCUUCAUACAUGCAAGUCGAGGGGGCAGCAUAAAGUACUUGUACUUUGAUGGCGACCGGCGAACGGGUGCGUAACGCGUAUGCAACUUACCUUUUACUAGAGAAUAGCCAAGAGAAAUUUUGAUUAAUGCUCUAUACUCUUUUUAACUCACAUGAGAUUUUAAGAAAAGCUCCGGCGGUAAAAGAUGGGCAUGCGUCCUAUUAGCUUGUAGGUGAGGUAACGGCUCACCUAAGCUCCGAUAGGUAGGGGUCCUGAGAGGGAGAUCCCCCACACUGGUACUGAGACACGGACCAGACUUCUACGGAAGGCAGCAGUAAGGAAUAUUGGACAAUGGAGGAAACUCUGAUCCAGCGAUGCCGCGUGAAGGAAGACGGCCCUAUGGGUUGUAAACUUCUUUUAUACAGGAAGAAACCUUUCCACGUGUGGAAAGCUGACGGUACUGUAAGAAUAAGGAUCGGCUAACUCCGUGCCAGCAGCCGCGGUAAUACGGAGGAUCCAAGCGUUAUCCGGAAUUAUUGGGUUUAAAGGGUCCGCAGGCUGUUUGUUAAGUCAGGGGUGAAAUCCUACCGCUCAACGGUAGAACUGCCUUUGAUACUGGCAAACUUGAGUUAUUGUGAAGUAGUUAGAAUGUGUAGUGUAGCGGUGAAAUGCAUAGAUAUUACACAGAAUACCAAUUGCGAAGGCAGAUUACUAACAAUUAACUGACGCUGAGGGACGAAAGCGUGGGUAGCGAACAGGAUUAGAUACCCUGGUAGUCCACGCCGUAAACGAUGGUCACUAGCUGUUCGAUGUACAUUGGUACAUUGAGUGGCUAAGCGAAAGUGAUAAGUGACCCACCUGGGGAGUACGCU
rnacentral:rRNA from 1 species